rnacentral:lncRNA from 1 species
ACACAGUGUGUGUGGUGUCAGAGGUAUGCAUGUGUGCACAUCGUGUGUGUACAGUGUGUGGGGUGUGUGCAUGUAUACAUGGUGUGGGUGCAGUGUGGUGUCUGUGUGUGGUGUCUGUAUGGGGUGUAUGCAUGUGCACAUGGUGUGUGUGCUGUUUGUGUGGUGUCUGUGUGUGGGGUGUGUGUGCAUGUGCACAUGGUGUGGUGUGUGCAGUGUGUGUGUUAUGAGUGACUGCUUUUAGCAUGUGGACAUCAGUCUUCCAGACCAGCUUUCUCCAUGUGUCUGGGAACAUAAGAAACAAGUUUCUGCAAUAAUUGUUACACAGCUUUUCCAGAGAGGGACCAAAUCUCUGUCGUGAGUGGGUAUCUGCAUCAUUUCGCAGGAGGGAAUGUGAUGUCCUGGCUUGGCUCACACCCUCUGUGGGUUUAGGCACGGGUUCCUGCUGGAUCCCUCACUGUGGCCAGAGAGGGAGGGCUCUGUUUCACCACAGGGCACCAGAAGAGGACUGGUGCGUGGGAAGACCAGGUAAUCAUAAUGCUAUUAAUAAUAGCAGUAAUCAUAUUGUUUUAUACAUUGUAUAUGUCAUAAGGAUUUUAACUUUCAUGUAACAUAAUUGCUGUAAAAGUUUCCCCAGUUUGUUUUGUGCUAUUUACCUGGUGUUAAAAUGUUUAAGAAUUUACAUAUUAGGUACGUUAGGUUUAUUCCUUUUUAUAUGGUUUCUGUUUGAAAUUUUGGUUUUAGAAGACAUUCAUUCUCAAGGUCAUAAAACACACACAUCUAAUUUUCUUUUUUCUCUCUCUUUUUUUUUUACAUUUAAUACUGGAAUUAACUUUUAUGUAAGGUGUAGGACCAUGAUUCAAUUCUGUCAUUUUAUAUUCUGAAAUCAUUACCCAAUAUUUUAAUACCACAAAUGGAACAAUCGCUCUGUUUUGUGGGUUUAAAAUGUUACCCUGUUACUAGAUAAAAUUACACUCAAUUUCUGUGUUUUUAAUUCUCUUUCAUUAAUGUGUUUAUUUUUGUGCCAUUUCAAAUUUGUUUAAUUUUGGAUAGUGAUAAUAAUCUUAAAUAUCUUAUAGUAAAUUUUAUAAUAAUGGCUCUCAUUGUAUGUGUGUGUUCAAUAUAUGGAUUUAAAAUCACAUGUUCUUGUUCGAAAAUAUUUUUCUUGGAAUUUUUAUUGGAAUUUGAGCAUAUUUUUAAAUGAUUUACAGCCAACUAAAGAGUUAAUAUUAUUGAGUCCUGUCAUCCAGAAUGUGACAUGCAAAUUCCUCAGACCUCCUUUAAUGCCAUUUAGUCAGAAUUAAUAUGUUAAAUCAAUAUAAAUUAGUAUAAAUGAGUAUAACUAAUGAUUAAAAUAAAUUAAUGUGUUUGGCUCCACAUUUCUGUCUUCUGCCUUCUAUCACUGAUGUUUUAUUCCUAUCCUUGUUGUUUUCUAUAGUUUCUUUUAUUAUGUCUUUUUCUGUCUUGUGAUUUGAAAACUAUAUAACACAUUGUAAUGUUUUAAUUUUUCUAAUUUUUUGCUUUUAAUUUUAACUAAUUUUAUUUUUUAGAGAAGUGCAGGUUCACAGCUAAACGUAGCAGAGAGUACAGACUUCUCAUAUGUCCCUUUCCCCACACACAGCCUCCCCACUACAGCUUCCUGCCUCACAGGAGCACACCUGUGACAACCAGGAACCUACCUUGAUCCUUCAUUAUCACUCAAAGCUUACAGUGCACAUUCACGUUUACUCUUCACGUUGUACGUUCUGAGUCUUGACAAAAGUAUAAUGGCAACGGGAUAUUAUUCACUGCUAACAGGAGAUGAACUAUCAAGCCACAAAAAAAUACAUGGAGGAAACUUAAAUGCAUAUUGCUAAAAGAAGAAGCCAAUCCGAAAAGUCUACGUACUGUUCGAUUCCAAUUAUAUGACGUUCUGGAAACGGUGAAACUAUGGGAUCAGUAGAAAGAUCAGUGGUUGCCAUGGACCAAGGGGAAGGAAGAGAUGGAUACACAGAGCACAGAGAAUCUUCACGGCAGUAAAACCAUUCUGUAUGAUACUAUAAUGGUAGAUAUAUACAUUUGUAAAAAUCUAUCUUAACUUUUAAUCUUUUAAAUUACAUUUUUUUUUGAUGGAGUCUUGCUCUGUCGCAAGGCAGGAGUGCAGUGGCACGAUCUCGGCUUACUGCAACCUCCGCCUCCCGGGUUCAAGCGAGUCUCCUGCCUCGGCCUCCCGAGUAGCUGGAACUACAGGUGCCCGCCACUGUGCCUGGCUAAUUUUUGUAUUUUUAGUAGAGACUGCGUUCACCAUCUUGGCCAGGCUGGUCUUGAACUCCUGACCUUGUGAUUCACCCGCCUUGGCCUCCCAAAGUGCUGGGAUUACAGGCGUCACACACCGCACCUGGCCGUUUUGUUUUAAGAACUGCAGACAAGCUGGGUGCAGUUGCUCAAGCCUGUAAUGUCUGCAUUUUGGGAGGCUGAAGUGGCUGGAUUGCCUGAGCCCCAGAGUUCAAGACCAGGUGGGCAACAUAGUGAGAUC